rnacentral:rRNA from 1 species
CCUACGGGCGGCUGCAGUGGGGAAUUUUGGACAAUGGGCGCAAGCCUGAUCCAGCCAUUCCGCGUGAGUGAAGAAGGCCUUCGGGUUGUAAAGCUCUUUCGCAAGGGAAGAAAACUUACAUUCUAAUAAAGUGUGAGGCUGACGGUACCUUGAUAAGAAGCACCGGCUAACUACGUGCCAGCAGCCGCGGUAAUACGUAGGGUGCGAGCGUUAAUCGGAAUUACUGGGCGUAGAGCGGUCGCUCAGGGGUGAAAUCCCCGAGCUCAACUUGGGAACUGCGUUUGAAACUACAAGACUAGAAUAUGUCAGAGGGGGGUAGAAUUCCACGUGUAGCAGUGAAAUGCGUAGAGAUGUGGAGGAAUACCAAUGGCGAAGGCAGCCCCCUGGGAUAAUAUUGACGCUCAUGCACGAAAGCGUGGGGAGCAAACAGGAUUAGAUACCCGUGUAGUC